GGCAAGGUAGCUCAGUUGGUUAGAGCGCUGCUCUCAUAAGGCGGAGGUCGAGGAUUCGAGUUCCUCUCUUGCUACCA
rnacentral:tRNA from 2 species